ensembl:snRNA U1 U1 spliceosomal RNA
AAAUGUAAGGCGGUUCAUCCCAGGGCGGGGCUCAGCCAGUGCACUCCGGCUGUGCUGAGCCCUGCCAAUUCCCCAAAUGUGGGAAUCUCGACUGCAUAAUUUUUUUGGGGGCAGUGGUGGCCUAGCGGUUAAGGAAGCGGCCCCGU